UUUCCGUAGGUGAACCUGCGGAAGGAUCAUUAAAAAAUAUCACUGAUGAAGUGAUUUAAUAAUCAUCCUACCCUUUGUGAAUUUGUUGUUUGAAUAAUUUUUUUUGAGUGAUAAAAAAAAAUUAUUUAUGGUUUUGUCUAUCCCUAAAAUUGGUUUGUUGUUGUAAGAAGUGAAUCAAUUUAGGGAAUAGGCUUUCAUAAAUAAGUUUUUUUAAAGUCUUAAAGACCUUUUUUAAAAUUAAACUUUUGUAUUCAUUUGUCUAAAUUUUUUUUAAAUAAUUUAAAAACAACUUUUGACAAUGGAUCUCUUGGUUCUCGCAACGAUGAAGAACGCAGCAAAAUGCGAUAAGUAAUGUGAAUUGCAGAAUACGUGAAUCAUCAAAUCUUCGAACGCAUAUUGCACUUUUUUAGUUUACUAAAAAAGUAUGUCUGUUUGAGUAUCAGUAAAAUAUUCUCAUAAAAACAUUUUUGUUUUUAUGGUUAUGAGUGUUUUACAACGAUAAACAAGUUGUUUCACUUUAAAUUCAUUUUAAUUUAAGACCAUUUUGGUUUUAAUAAAAAAUUGGAUAAAAUUUUCCCGUAAAAAGGAAUAAACUUUUCAGUUUUUAAUUAUUACAACAAACGUCCGAUUUAAAAGGAAAUUUAUAAUUUAAAUAACUUGAUCUCAAAUCAGAUAAGAGUACCGCUGAACUUAAGCAUAUCAAUAAGCGGAGGAAAAGAAACUAACAAGGAUUCCCUUAGUAACGGCGAGUGAAGCGGGAAGAGCUCAAAUUUGAAUCUUCAAGUUCUACCUUGACGAAUUGUAGUUUAAAGAAGUGUUUUCUGUUAGAUGAGUGCAAAAGUUCCUUGGAAUGGACAUCAUAGAGGGUGAGAAUCCCGUAUUUGGUUAUUCAUUCUAGUUUGUGAUACACUUUCAAAGAGUCGGAUUGUUUGGGAAUGCAGUCCAAAAUGGGUGGUAAAUUUCAUCUAAAGCUAAAUAUUGGCGAGAGACCGAUAGCGAACAAGUACCGUGAGGGAAAGAUGAAAAGAACUUUGAAAGAGAGUUAAACAGUACGUGAAAUUGUCAAAAGGGAGCGUUUGACACCAGUGUUGUUUUUCCGAAAAUCAAUUACGAAUGGCUUGAUUUUGUGUUGUAUUGACCUUAUCAGCUUUCUUCACUUUUUUCGAGUCUUUCUAAUGCACUUUCGGUUAACAAGUCAACAUCAAUUUCUUUUGUUGUAAAAGAGUAUUCGGAAGGUGGCUUUCUUUUCGGAGAAAGUGUUUAUAGCCCUAUACUUCUACAAUCGGAGAGAUUGAGGUCUGCAGCGUAGAUCCUUCGGGUUAGAUACAUUUGUGCUAAGUUGUAGCUUUUCAUAGACAACUUGUUGACUAUGUUUAGUCAUGCGGCUUACUCGCUUAUGCUAUUUUACCUACGCUUAGGAUGUUGAC
rnacentral:misc_RNA from 1 species